rnacentral:rRNA from 1 species
UACGGGGGGGGCAAGCGUUGUUCGGAAUUACUGGGCGUAAAGGGCGCGUAGGCGGCCUGCUAAGUCACACGUGAAAUCCCUCGGCUCAACCGGGGAACUGCGUGUGAUACUGGCAGGCUUGAAUUCGGGAGAGGGAUGUGGAAUUCCAGGUGUAGCGGUGAAAUGCGUAGAUAUCUGGAGGAACACCGGUGGCGAAGGCGGCAUCCUGGACCGAGAUUGACGCUGAGGCGCGAAAGCUAGGGUAGCAAACGGG